CUAUAUUGUUCAACCAUCCAUCCAUGUAUCCAUCCGUCCAUCAAUCUGUCCAUCCAUCCAUCUAUGUAUCCACGUAUCUGUCCGUCCGUCCGAAAUCCAGCUAGAGAGGUAGGUAGCUCAGAAGCUUGCACAACAUUGACAGGCUGAGGCGGUACAAUCAACAGUUUGAGAUCAGCCUAAGUUACAAAGUAUGUAUGCAUGCAUGCAUGCAUGUAUGUAUGUAUGUAUGUAUGUAUGUAUGUAUACACACACACACACACACACACACACACACACACACACACACACACAAACACACCAGGCAGCGGUGGUACACAUCUUAAAUCCUUUAGUCUUCAUGAGGCAGAGCCUGGUCUACCGAGUGAGUUCAAGGACAGCUUGGGAAACACAAGCUUCUGUCAGGAAAGCCUUCCUGUGAAGUCUUAACAUUGUUAGUGACAAGCACUGAGGAAAUGUGGAUCAAAGCCCCCAUGGAAAGAGCAUUUUUCUCGGUGGGAUACCAGGGGCUGCAUACAAGGCUUCACUGAGCUGCAUUGCCACCCACAUGUUUUGAGACAAGUUGUCAUUAAAUUACCCAGGCUGGCCUUGAACCAUCUAUCUUUCUGCAACUCCCAAGAGAAUGGCUUGCAGGUCUGCACAAUCAGGCCUGAUUUUUUUUUUAAUUUUUAUUUUAAAGUAAGACGAUAACGUUGGUAAAAAAAAA
rnacentral:lncRNA from 1 species